UAGAGCCUAGAGCCGCGGAGGGGCAGUUUCAGAGGCCAAAGCCACACCGCGGCAGGAGGUCUUCGGUUUUAUUUUGACUGGGGGACGCCAGGAGGAGAAGACUGAAAAUUAAAGGGGAAAAGCGCGGCCGAAGCGCGAGAACCGGAAGCGCACUCGGCCGGGGUACCGCGCUCCGCCGGCACUCCUUUCUCACGACUGUUUUCGGGGGCCACCACCAGUUUGGUGGUGUCGGAAAGCCGCUCCUUGUGGAGCGGUAAAUUGGUGGCGUCGCUCUCAGCUCAGCUCCUACUGGCUCCCUGUGGCGUGCUCAGGCCCACAGCUGUCGUCCCUGGCUUUGACCGUCGCUGACCUGUCCGUUUCGUGUAAGAGAAGUGACUGGAAGCAAGGAGGCUGGUCCUGCUCAGCUUCUCUUAGUCCAUCCAGGUUUUUUAAUCCCAUGAAGUUGCUUUAAGUGUUCUUUUAUCCUGUACUAAAGGCUUUUCUACGAAGACUGGUUUAAAAAAAAUAAGGUGCGGGUAGGGUGUGUCAUACUGAAGCCAUUUAUCCCAACUGUUAAACUAUUUAGAAAAAAAGUUACAUAAAAUGAAGUGUGGUAAAAUAAAAUGUUACACCGUUACUUUACUACAUUACAAAAACUUUUAUUGAAACAUUUUUUGAUGUUUCUACCAUCCUGGGGAAGUUAUGCGUUACUCUUAAUAUUUUUUUAAUCCAUUUUCUUGCAAAAUGUCAUGGUAUGGCUUUAUACUGGUAAAUUAUGAUAAACCUUUGAAUAUGUUCUUGACAAAUUAAAAAGUUCCAGAAUGUAUCUGAAA